rnacentral:lncRNA from 1 species
UGGCAUGAUACAUGAGUGGCUGGCUAUUUGAAAUUGGAUCUCUCCGAUUCAAACAUGAAUUGGAAAGGAUCUGAGAUACAUACAUAGCUAAAAGAUAGAAACACAAUUUCUUUUGAACCUCUCUUUGAUCUUAAGAUGAUUUCUAGCUGUGCAUGAUUUAGAAUCCUUAAAAUAAGAAUAAUAACAUCUCUUCUUGAGAAAUAUUAGCCUGAAAAUCAUGAAGCAUAAAAUUUAAAUACUAAUGCCAUAAGACCGAUCUUGGUUAAUUUUCUUUAAAAAAAAUAGAAAUUUAGGUGGCU